AACGAGAAUAAAACGUGAAGGAUAACGUUGCGUCAGCAACGACCCGUAGGGCGAGGCAAAGCCGAGUCAUCCUGCACGACCCACCA
rnacentral:sRNA from 1 species